CAUAGGCUUCAAGCGUUGUCCGGAUUUAUUGGGAGUAAAGAGUUCGUAGGCGGUCGAGUAAGUCGGGUGUGAAAAUUCUGGGCUCAACCCAGAGACGCCACCCGAUACUGCUUAACUUGAGAUCGAUAGGGGAGUGGGGAAUUCCUAGUGUAGCGGUGAAAUGCGCAGAUAUUAGGAGGAACACCGGUGGCGAAGGCGCCACUCUGGAUCGAUACUGACGCUGAGUAACGAAAGCAUGGGUAGCAAACAGGAUUAGAUACCCUGGUAGUCCAUGCGGUAAACGGUGGGCACUAGGUGUGGGUUUCUAUUAACGAAAUCCCCGCCGUCGCUAACGCAUUAAGUGCCCCGCCUGGGGAGUACGGUCGCAAGACUA
rnacentral:rRNA from 1 species